CAGCAGCCGCGGUAAUACGUAGGGUGCAAGCGUUAAUCGGAAUUACUGGGCGUAAAGCGUGCGCAGGCGGUUUUGUAAGACAGAGGUGAAAUCCCCGGGCUCAACCUGGGAACUGCCUUUGUGACUGCAAGGCUUGAGUGCGGCAGAGGGGGAUAGAAUUCCGCGUGUAGCAGUGAAAUGCGUAGAUAUGCGGAGGAACACCGAUGGCGAAGGCAAUCCCCUGGGCCUGCACUGACGCUCAUGCAUGAAAGCGUGGGGAGCAAACAGGAUUAGAGACCCCCGUAGUCCCUGUCUCUUAUAC
rnacentral:rRNA from 1 species